AGUAUGGAACAUAAAAUGAAAGUGUAUGCGGAGAAGAUGAAGCUAUGGGAAGAAUCUGUUUCUUCUAGUUUGGAUAAAGUGGUCGAGACGAAGAAAAAAACAGAAACAUUUGUUGAAUCAAUGCGUGCCGCACAUCUCCAGGACCAAGUGCGGUUUAACGAGUCUUACCUUGAAACCAUAGACCAUUUUAAACUGCAGUCUGAAAAUAAAACUGAGUUGUACGAAAGACAAAUGAACACAUUGUUGGAUUCUUUUUCUUUUAAAAUACAGGAAUUCAGUGAGGCUGAACGUAAAUGGGAGAGUACAAUGAAGUUAUCUCUUCACCAGGAACAGAACCGAUUUAAUGCAUCAUUUGAUAAAAUUGUGGAAAACUUUCAAGUUCGCUUCAAUAAAUCUUUGCAAGAAAUUGCUUUAAAGCAACAGAAAGUUGCUCUUACCGCCUGUCAUAACAGUCACCGUACCGUGUCAAGUGGACAAGUAGUACAAUUUUCGAAUAUCAAAACCAACAUUGGAAUAACCGAUUUGUCAUCCUACAAAUCGACCGGAAAAUUCGUUUGCACUGUAGCUGGAUUAUAUCAUGUUUCUGCUGUCAUGAUGUCAAACACGAAUGAUGCGGUUUACUAUAUUUAUAAAAACAAUAAUAUAAUGAUUGAUACAUUUUACGGUGAUGUUGGCUCUCUUUACCAAACUAGAACCAGUGUUUUUGUCACGAUGUUGGAUGUCAGUGAUGAAAUUACAGUUAGGGCUGGUGGUUCUCAGUACAUAUACUCAUAUUCCUGUUUCACAAUAGUUAAAAUAAAUUGAAAGAAAUGUAAUCUAAGAUAUAUAUAAGUGUUAGGAUUUGAUUUACAUGUUGUCAGUCUAAAAGAAAGAAAAAUAUGUUUCGCAAAAAGGACAUAAUGACAGUUAUCUUUAGAACUGUUAUAUUGCGAUUGAAUUGAGGUGUCGUGGCUAUAUAAUACAUUGGUUUCAUACAAUUGUUUUUUUUUUCAUAUUGUUUCUUGACAUGGUGAACGUUAAAACGUUCAUUCCGUCCAUAUUGAUCAGAUAUAAAUUAUUCUCUAAUU